GAUGAACGCUGGCUACAGGCUUAACACAUGCAAGUCGAGGGGAAACGACGGGGAAGCUUGCUUCCCCGGGCGUCGACCGGCGCACGGGUGAGUAACGCGUAUCCAACCUGCCUCUGACUGAGGGAUAACCCGUCGAAAGUCGGCCUAAUACCUCAUGGCAUCGUCUGCGGGCAUCCAACUACGAUUAAAGAUUUCAUCGGUCAGGGAUGGGGAUGCGUCUGAUUAGCUUGGUGGCGGGGUAACGGCCCACCAAGGCUACGAUCAGUAGGGGUUCUGAGAGGAAGGUCCCCCACAUUGGAACUGAGACACGGUCCAAACUCCUACGGGAGGCAGCAGUGAGGAAUAUUGGUCAAUGGGCGGGAGCCUGAACCAGCCAAGUAGCGUGCAGGAUGACGGCCCUAUGGGUUGUAAACUGCUUUUAUGCGGGGAUAAAGUGAGGGACGUGUCCUUCAUUGCAGGUACCGCAUGAAUAAGGACCGGCUAAUUCCGUG
rnacentral:rRNA from 1 species